UCGAGGCUUUACAAACUUAGUAUCAGAUCCUAAGGUUCAACAGUGUCCUAGGAAGUCUGAAAAGCUGUAUCUAGUAGAUUCUUAUGCAUGGGUGUGUUUCGCGCCACACUUUUGGAUAGGGGUCUAUAAGAUGUGUUAGGAAUAGUUUCCCUUUUUUAGUAUUCAUGUCGUGCGAGUGAGCAUGAGAUCCAAUUAAACUCUCAGUCUAAUCCACUUCUUCUUUUCAUUUACAGAAUAUCCC
rnacentral:lncRNA from 1 species